rnacentral:lncRNA from 1 species
GAGAGAGAGAGAGAGAAACUGGCUGUGUUUCUGCUUCUUUCGUUCUUAAGAUAAAUUCUCCCGGAGACAACCUCUCCCACUAAUUGUGUGUUAGCCAUGAAUUUUAUCUCAAGAGCUGACGCACUGGGCUCUCAACUGGUGUGGAAAAGCAGCCUGUUACAGUGUGGGAUUCAUAAAAGGGCCUCUAUGGUGUGUGAGAAAGAAUAUCUGUGUGCCUAGGCAGGAAACUUUUUUUUUGAUCUACAGAAAAGCCAGAAGAUAUCUAGCACACCAGAAUAGGGCUCCUGUCUUACUGAGCAGUAUACACUAUGGAGAGAUCCUUCAAAAUCCGUUGGGAGGAAGAACAGAUGAAUUCAUAAAACUGUUCAUCUCUGUUAUCCUGAAUGGUCACUCAGACAACAUUUUACUAAACUAUCAAGGCAGAAGCAUAUUGUGUGAUGUUCUAUAUUUAUGAAACCCAUAACAAACUGUGAAGAGAUAACAGAAUGCUGUUUGCGUGAGUUGAAACAGUAGAUGAAAUCUUUCAUUAAAAUUACUCAUACUUUGGGUCUUAUUCUUAUUUAUAAAUAAGCAUAAAUAUUAUUGCAAACAUUU